GGCGCUAUAGCCAAGUGGUUACGGCGACAGAUUAGAACUUUAUUUGGAUCUAUCUGUUGGGGUUUCCCCGCGCAGGUUCGAAUCCUGCUGGCGUCG